rnacentral:tRNA from 1 species
ACCUGGCUGGCUCAGUUGGUACAGCAUGAGAUUCUUGAUCUCAGGGCUGUGAGUUCAAGCCCCACGAUGGGUG